rnacentral:rRNA from 1 species
UAAGGCGAGGCCGAAAGGCGUAGUCGAUGGGAAACAGGUUAAUAUUCCUGUACUUGGUGUUACUGCGAAGGGGGGACGGAGAAGGCUAUGUUAGCCGGGCGACGGUUGUCCCGGUUUAAGCAUGUAGGCUGGUUGUCCAGGCAAAUCCGGAUAAUCAAGGCUGAGGUGUGAUGACGAGGCACUACGGUGCUGAAGUAACAAAUGCCCUGCUUCCAGGAAAAGCCUCUAAGCAUCAGGUAACAUCAAAUCGUACCCCAAACCGACACAGG